CCUACGGGAGGCAGCAGUGGGGAAUAUUGGACAAUGGGGGCAACCCUGAUCCAGCAAUGCCGCGUGUGUGAUGAAGGCCUUAGGGUUGUAAAGCACUUUCACUGGUGAAGAUGAUGACGGUAACCAGAGAAGAAGCCCCGGCUAACUUCGUGCCAGCAGCCGCGGUAAUACGAAGGGGGCGAGCGUUGUUCGGAAUUACUGGGCGUAAAGGGCGCGUAGGCGGCUCUUUAAGUUAGGCGUGAAAUCCCCGGGCUCAACCUGGGAACUGCGCUUAAGACUGGAGAGCUAGAAAACGGAAGAGGGUAGUGGAAUUCCCAGUGUAGAGGUGAAAUUCGUAGAUAUUGGGAAGAACACCAGUGGCGAAAGCGGCUACCUGGUCCGGAUUUGACGCUGAGGCGCGAAAGCGUGGGGAGCAAACAGGAUUAGAUACCCUGGUAGUCCACGCCGUAAACGAUGUCUGCUAGAUGUCGGGGGGUUGCCCCUCGGUGUCGCCGCUAACGCAUUAAGCAGACCGCCUGGGAAGUACGGUCGCAAGAUUAAAACUCAAAGGAAUGACGG
rnacentral:rRNA from 1 species